GCCUUCGUGGUGUUGUGGUCAGCACGCUUGACGCGUAUUCGAGAGGUCCGUGGUUCGAGUCUCGGCGAGGGCA
rnacentral:tRNA from 1 species